CUGUGCUUUAACUGCUUAUACAGAUCAAUGGCACGCUGUCCCCUACAAAAGAAAAACACGCUUCUAUGUGAAGCAAUAUACUACUAGCUUUGCUUUUUUUUCCUGGAGAAGUAAAAUGUUUGUAGAAGUAUUACCAACAAGACAAAAAACAUGGUAAACAAAACCAGUGGCACUACUUGCAUCUGAGCUACAGGAUAUCAACUACCCCUUCCCACAUUCUCAGGGUUCUUACAGGUAUAAUCAGCUAAAUACAUACUCACAUUGGAGAAGCUAGGACCUUAAUCCAUUAUGACCAUUAUCCUUACGAGAAAAGACACAGAGAUAGAUACACAAGGGUGCAAUGUGACAAUAAGGAAACAGACUAAAGUGCUACAGCUUCAAACCAAGGAACACCAAGGACUGCUGGCAAACCAUGGGUAAAUAAGAAAAAGCA